UAGCUCACUGGUCUAGAUAAGCCGGCCUGCGCCGAAGAUGUACCGGGGCUCAAGCCGCCCGCCGAAGCUGAGGAUUCAGUUGGUUCGCCAACUGUCUGGUAGCGGAGCGUUCCGUAAGCCUGUGAAGGGGUCCUGUGAGGGGUCCUGGAGGUAUCGGAAGUGAGAAUGCUGACAUGAGUAGCGACAAAGAGUGUGAGAAACACUCUCGCCGAAAGUCCAAGGGUU
rnacentral:rRNA from 1 species